rnacentral:tRNA from 1 species
AGCUCAGUUGGUAGAGCAUCGCAUUCGUAAUGCGGGGGUCGCAAGUUCGAGUCUUGCAG